AAGUCGAGCGGGAUUCACCUUCGGGUGAUGAGAGCGGCGCACGGGUGCGUAACGCGUAUGCAACCUGCCUUAUGCAGGGGGAUAGCCCAUGGAAACGUGGAUUAAUACCCCAUAGAAUUAAGAUGCUGCAUGGUAUUUUAAUUAAAACUUCGGUGGCAUAAGAUGGGCAUGCGUCUGAUUAGCUAGUUGGUGAGGUAAGGGCUCACCAAGGCAACGAUCAGUAGGGGUUCUGAGAGGAUUAUCCCCCACACUGGUACUGAGACACGGACCAGACUCCUACGGGAGGCAGCAGUGAGGAAUAUUGGUCAAUGGGCGAAAGCCUGAACCAGCCAUCCCGCGUGCAGGAUGACGGCCCUAUGGGUUGUAAACUGCUUUUCUACGCCAAGAAACCUGGUUACGAGUAACCAGUUGCCGGUAGCGUAGGAAUAAGCAUCGGCUAACUCCGUGCCAGCAGCCGCGGUAAUACGGAGGAUGCAAGCGUUAUCCGGAUUCAUUGGGUUUAAAGGGUGCGUAGGUGGGCUUGUAAGUCAGUGGUGAAAUACUGCCGCUUAACGGUAGAAUUGCCAUUGAUACUGUGAGUCUUGAGUAUGGUUGAGGUAGGCGGAAUGUGUUGUGUAGCGGUGAAAUGCAUAGAUAUGACACAGAA
rnacentral:rRNA from 1 species